rnacentral:misc_RNA from 1 species
CGCACAUUGCGCCCCUUGGUAUUCCAUGGGGCAUGCCUGUUCGAGCGUCAUCUACACCCUCAAGCUCUGCUUGGUGUUGGGCGUCUGUCCCGCCUCUGCGCGCGGACUCGCCCCAAAUUCAUUGGCAGCGGUCUUUGCCUCCUCUCGCGCAGCACAAUUGCGUCUGCGGGGCCCGCGUCCACGAAGCAUUACCAGUCUUUGACCUCGGAUCAGGUAGGGAUACCCGCUGAACUUAA